GCAUGUCUAAGUAUAAGCAACUAUACGGUGAAACUGCGAAUGGCUCAUUAAAUCAGUUAUCGUUUAUUUGAUAGUACCUUACUACAUGGAUAACCGUGGUAAUUCUAGAGCUAAUACAUGCUAAAAACCCCGACUUCGGAAGGGGUGUAUUUAUUAGAUAAAAAACCAAUGCCCUUCGGGGCUCCUUGGUGAAUCAUAAUAACUUAACGAAUCGCAUGGCCUUGCGCCGGCGAUGGUUCAUUCAAAUUUCUGCCCUAUCAACUUUCGAUGGUAGGAUAGUGGCCUACCAUGGUAUCAACGGGUAACGGGGAAUUAGGGUUCGACUCCGGAGAGGGAGCCUGAGAAACGGCUACCACAUCCAAGGAAGGCAGCAGGCGCGCAAAUUACCCAAUCCCGACACGGGGAGGUAGUGACAAUAAAUACUGAUACAGGGCUCUUUUGGGUCUUGUAAUUGGAAUGAGUACAAUUUAAAUCCCUUAACGAGGAACAAUUGGAGGGCAAGUCUGGUGCCAGCAGCCGCGGUAAUUCCAGCUCCAAUAGCGUAUAUUAAAGUUGUUGCAGUUAAAAAGCUCGUAGUUGAACCUUGGGCCUGGCUGGCCGGUCCGCCUCACCGCGUGUACUGGUCCGGCCGGGCCUUUCCUUCUGGGGAACCUCAUGCCCUUCACUGGGCGUGCUGGGGAACCAGGACUUUUACUUUGAAAAAAUUAGAGUGUUCAAAGCAGGCCUUUGCUCGAAUACAUUAGCAUGGAAUAAUAGAAUAGGACGUGUGGUUCUAUUUUGUUGGUUUCUAGGACCGCCGUAAUGAUUAAUAGGGAUAGUCGGGGGCAUCAGUAUUCAAGCGUCAGAGGUGAAAUUCUUGGAUUGCUUGAAGACUAACUACUGCGAAAGCAUUUGCCAAGGAUGUUUUCAUUAAUCAGUGAACGAAAGUUAGGGGAUCGAAGACGAUCAGAUACCGUCGUAGUCUUAACCAUAAACUAUGCCGACUAGGGAUCGGACGGUGUUAGUAUUUUGACCCGUUCGGCACCUUACGAGAAAUCAAAGUUUUUGGGUNNUGGGGGGAGUAUNGNCGCA
rnacentral:rRNA from 1 species